GGGUGGAGUUAUGAUAGGUCUCUUGGCAGUUUCCGGCAACACAACUCCAACGAAGGUAUCGAAACACGGCAAGUUAUAUGGACGACAAUACAUCGGUGGCGGCCCGUGGCCUGGCAAUGUAGGCGCUGCACAUUGGAGGAUACUUCAGAAGGGGAGCUUCUCAAGCAUUACCAAGUCAAGCACAGUAUUUAUGGAUGUGGCUGAGCUGAACCAAAACCAACUAAUCACCAAUUAAAGAAGAGAGACAGCCCAGUCAUUAAGGACUUGAUGUGGAGAACUUUUGCACAUAGAGGAACAUACGACAUACAAAUGAGCAUCAGUGACAUGAAGCACAGGUGGCCUACCUUGUUUAAUGUCUCACAGGUGAGUAUUUGGAUCUUUUGUGUUAAACACAUUAAGGACUGUAAACAACUACUGUAUGUUUCACAGUUAUACUUAAGUAUGCACUUCACUUUUUGUUGUCACUGGUUCUUUUGUCUCUUCUUUCAUAUCCCUCUUUCAGGAGAGGAAGGUGCCAUAAGGGAGACGAAAGGACACCAAAACUGAUGUCCUUGUUUCCAGCAAGGAAAAGCGUUGUCAGAGGAAGAAUUCAAGCACAGACAAACAUUCUACUUCAGAUGGAAUCCAACGUGAGCAGACAAGGGACGUUGUCAUCCGAUGCCUUAUUGACUAUCUUGCAGGAGAUGCCAGUGCCCUAUUCCAGGACUUUGAGGAUGCCGGGGAUGGAUCAACCAGCAUUCAAGAAAAGAUGGCAUAGUGAUUGAGGGCAGCACCGUCCACAGCACUCUUGGGGAUCUUAGCCAAGCCUGCUACUAUCUGAUGGGACUGACGUAUGCACGAGACCUGCGGUUCCCCAAGACCCUGUCAUCCAGUUUUAUGGUGUUCCAGAAAGUACUGCUGGAUCUGGAUUCAUGCAAACCUUUCAAAAACUUCAAAAACUGAAGAAUUACCUCCUGUAUGUUUUUGGUGGCAGCAACACAGUGGUCAAGUGGUUAGCGCACAGACCUAACAGCGAGGAGACCAGGGUUCAAUUCCACCCUCGGCCAUCUCUGUGUUGAAUUUGCAUGUUCUCCCCUUGCAUGCGUGAAUGCGGGUACUCCGGUUUCCUCCCACAUUCCAAAAAACAAGCUAUGUUAAUUGGCAACUCCAAAUUGUCCAUAGGUAUGAAUGUAAACAUACACAUUAACUUUCUUUAUUGUCAUUGCACAAUAACACAGCAGUGAAAUUGCCACUGAAAUGUUGUUGCCUGGCUCCUGUAAUGUGAAUGGUUGUUUGUCUAUAUGUGCCCUGUGAUUGGCUGGCCACCAUUCAGGGUGUACCCCGCCUCUCGCCCGUAGACAGCUGGGAUAGGCUCCAGCACUUGUGAGGACAAAGCGGUAGAAAAUGAAUGAAUGUUGUUGGUGGCCACUAUUCAAAACGAUGCUUUCUGAGUGAUUUUUUUGUUGGUGAGGUUUACCUGUCCUAAGUAUAGAAGUUUCAUGUGUUAAUGUUUAUUAAAGUGUCUUAAUGCCAUGAGAAUGUCAUUCUUUCUGCAUUUCAGCCAUGUGCUGCAUCAAUUUCUGCCAGAUGCUCAUAUGCUCAUUUUGAUGUUGAUGUACCCUGAGGUUAUAUAGUUAAAAUGGAGAUUUCUCAGACUAUGUCCAAUAAUGAUGGCAAGAUGUCACCCCGUGAGGCUUUGAACCAUUUCAAUCAACUGGUUUGACAAAUGAUUCAUUUCUUCAAGCUUCAUGUGCACACGAAACCACCUGCUGGCCUUGGAUAGAAUUACAUGCGGCUGUAUCUUCAUGUGUGAUGCAUUAAAUGCUGAUCUGUUUUGGCUCUAGGAUAUGAUUAUGUACUACAAAACAUUGUAGAACCACUUAAUUAACCUAAAAAGCGUAAGAUUAAAUAUACAGUAUAUAUAACAUACUGAAUGUUUUAUUGUCCAUCAAUGCCAUGUAUCGUGAUAUGGCUAUCUUCAUCAUGGUUUUA